UCCCCUAGUAACUGCGAGUGAAGCGGGAAAAGCUCAAAUUUCGAAUCUGGCGGUCCUAGAGGCCGUCCGAGUUGUAAUCUAGAGAAGCGUCUUCCGCGCUGGCCCGUGUACAAGUCUCCUGGAAGGGAGCGUCAUAGAGGGUGAGAAUCCCGUCUUUGACACGGACCACCAGCGCCAUGUGAUCCGCUCUCGACGAGUCGAGUUGUUUGGGAAUGCAGCUCAAAACGGGUGGUAAAUUCCAUCUAAAGCUAAAUACUGGCGAGAGACCGAUAGCGAACAAGUACCGUGAGGGAAAGAUGAAAAGAACUUUGGAAAGAGAGUUAAACAGUACGUGAAAUUGCUGAAAGGGAAACGCUUCAUGUCAGUCGCGUCGGCCCGGGGAUCAACCUUGCGAGCCAUCGCUCGGCGCACUUCCCGGUCGACGGGUCAGCAUCAGUUUCCGUCCUCGUACAAGGCCGAGAGGAACGUGGCACUCUCCGGAGUGUGUUAUAGCCUUUCGUCGUAUGCGUCGCCAGGGACUGAGGUUCUCGGCACCGUCCUUCGGGACGACCGUGUCUAGGAUGCUGGCAUAAUGGCCUCAAGCGACCCGUCUUGAAACACGGACCAAGGAGUCCAACAUGCCUGCGAGUGUUCGGGUCGCAAACCCGUCCGCGAAACGAAAGUGAUCGUCGAGACCUCCCCCACGGAGGGCACCGACGCCCAGACCCGAGUCCUCGACCACGGUCCUGCGGUAGAGCAUGCAUGUUGGGACCCGAAAGAUGGUGAACUAUGCCUGAAUAGGGCGAAGCCAGAGGAAACUCUGGUGGAGGCUCGUA
rnacentral:rRNA from 1 species